AUGCUUUCUCAGUCUCUGCUCGCGCUUGGUUUGCUCCUCCUGCUGAGCCUGAGCCUCGACAGAGAGGUGGCUCUAGCGGCGGAAGACGGCGAGUUCGCCUACCAAGGCUUCGCCACGGCGAACCUUACGCUGGAUGGCCUCGCCACCGUCAUGCCCAACGGCCUCCUGCUGCUCACCGACACGGAGUCCGCGAACACGGGCCAUGCCUUCCACCCCGCGCCACUCCAGUUCCUCGAAAGUUCCACCACGACGACGAACAGCACCACCAUGGCGCGGUCCUUCUCCGUGACCUUCGUGUUUGCCAUUUCGUCCAGGUACGAUGGCCUGACCAGCUACGGGCUUGCGUUCGUGGUCGCUCCGACCUCGAACCUCUCGGCUGCGAACGGCAGGCGGUACAUGGGCCUCCUCAACGCGACAAACGGCACGGCGAGCGACCGCAUCCUGGCGGUCGAGCUCGACACCAUCAUGGACGUCGCGUUCCGCGACAUCGACAGCAACCACGUCGGCAUCGACGUCAACAGCCUCGUCUCACGGCAGGCCAAGCCGGCUGGGUACUACAGCAACGAGAACGGCGCCUUCCAAGAUCUGAGGUUGAACAGCCGCAGGCCGAUGCAGGUGUGGGUGGACUACGACGCCCAAGCCAGGCGAAUCAAUGUGACAUUAGCACCUGUGCAGGUACCAAGGCCCAGGAAUCCUCUGCUCUCCGAGGUUAUUGAUCUCUCCACGGUCAUGGUGGACGAAAUGUAAGUCGGCUUUUCUGCUUCUAGCGGUACUCCCGGUGACAAUCACCACUCUGUCCUUGGAUGGAGUUUCAGCUUCGACGGACCCGCCCCGACGCUUGACUUCUUCAAGCUUCCCGCCCUGCCAUGGCUAGGUCCCAAGCCUCGGUCCAAGAUCUUGAACAUCGUGUUGCCACUGGCAGCGGUAUCGCUUGUCAUUGCCGUGCUAGCUGCCGCAUUCUUCUUCUUGUGGCAUCGGUGCCGAUUUGCUGAGGUGAGAGAAGACUGGGAGGAUGAGUUCGGCCCACAUCGUUUUGCAUACAAGGAUUUAUUUCAUGCCACCGAGGGGUUUUCUAGUAGGAAUUUACUUGGAGUAGGAGGAUUUGGAAGAGUGUACAGAGGAUUGCUUUCCGCGUCCAAUUUGGAGGUUGCCGUCAAGAGGGUGUCACAUGAUUCGAAACAAGGACUAAGGGAGUUCAUUGCGGAGGUGGUCGCAUGUGGUCGUAGGCCAAUCAACAAUAGCAAGGAUAUCACAAAGUUAGUGUUGGUCGAUUGGGUGCUUGAACAUCACCGCAACGGCUCAAUUCUCGACGUGGUCGAUCCACGUCUUAUGGGGAAUUUCAACACAGAGGAAGCCACCCUCCUGCUCAAAUUAGGUUUCAUUUGCUCUAUAUCUGGUGAGUCUUCAGUGACCGUUCUACAAGAGGGGAGAUGA
rnacentral:rRNA from 1 species